CCUACGGGUGGCAGCAGUGGGGAAUAUUGCACAAUGGGGGGAACCCUGAUGCAGCGACGCCGCGUGAGUGAAGAAGUAUUUCGGGAUGUAAAGCUCUAUCAGCAGGGAAGAAAAUGACGGUACCUGACUAAGAAGCCCCGGCUAACGACGUGCCAGCAGCCGCGGGAAUACGGAGGGGGCAAGCGUUAUCCGGAUUUACUGGGUGUAAAGGGAGCGCAGACGGCUGUGCAAGUCUGGAGGGAAAGGCGGGGGCCCAACCCCCGGACUGCUCUGGAAACUGUAAAGCUGGAGUGCAGGAGAGGUAAGCGGAAUUCCUAGUGUAGCGGUGACAUGCGUAGAUAUUAGGAGGACCACCAGUGGCGAAGGCGGCUUACUGGACUGCACCUGACGUUGAGGCUCGACAGCGUGGGGAGCAAACAGGAUUAGAUACCCUUGUAGUC
rnacentral:rRNA from 1 species